CAUUAAGUGCAGGAAAAGAAACCAAAUGGGAUUCCCCCAGUAACGGCGAGUGAAGUGGGAUCAGCUCAGCACCGAAGCCGGCGGUCGGAAGGCCGUCGUGCAAUGUGGUGUUCGGGAGGGCUCUGUCCGUGUCCGGUUUUGGUCCAAGUCUCCUGGAAAGGAGUUCCAUGGAGGGUGACAGGCCCGUGCGACCAAUUACCGCGCUCUCGGACGAGUCCUCCUUCGAGUCGGGUUGUUCGCUAAUGCAGCCCUAAGCAGGUGGUAAGCUCCAUCUAAAGCUAAAUAUAACCACGAGUCCGAUAGUCAACAAGUACAGUGAUGGAAAGUUGAAAAGUACUCUGAAGAGAGAGUCAAAUAGCCCGUGAAGCUGCCAGUAUGGGAUUAAGCGCACGUGUGACGCGUGUCGUCGGACAAAUAGGCGACUGUUGUGCGUACGAUUGGCGCGUGUCGCGAGGCGCAAGCUUUCGCGUCGCGUCGAUACACUGGUGCGGACCACAGAACGCUUCCCUUUGUUCGGCAUUGACAGGUCGGGGCUUCGUUGUUCGCGGUCUUAUUGCCGGCGGUGAUUCUGCAGAGCCGUGCUGGGCGGCUGCCAGUUUCGGCUGGCGGUCGUGCUCCGCUGACUGUGGUCCCUCGUGGGCGCAGCGGCUGGUCCGGUCUGCGGUGCAAUGCUGUCGUGCGAACGACUGAACGACGGCCAACGCAUUCGAACCUCAUACGGGGUUCGGCUCGGCCUUUGCGUCGUCACGUGCGGCCCGUCUUGAAACACGGACCAAGGAGUCUAACAUGUGAGCGAGCGAUUGAGAUUGUCGAAUCUCAAACGCGCAAUGAAAGUGAAGUGUCGUCUGACGGCACGAGCGGUGAUCUGUCGCCACUUGUUGGCGACAGCGCAACCGCGGGCCGCGCCAUGAGCUGGCUUGCUUUUCGGAGCACUGCUCAGGCGCGGACCUAGAGCCCACACGUUGGGACCCGAAAGAUGGUGAACUAUGCCUGGUCAGGAUGAAGCCAGAGGAAACUCUGGUGGAGGUCCGCCGCGAUUCUGACGUGCAAAUCGAUCGUCUGAACUGGGUAUAGGGGCGAAAGACCAAUCGAACCAUCUAGUAGCUGGUUCCGCCCGAAGUUUCCCUCAGGAUAGCUGGCGCUUGUUUGAUACGGAGUUUCAUCCGGUAAAGCGAAUGAUCAGAGGAGCUGGGCUCCUUGCGAGCUCAACCUAUUCUCAAACUUUCAAUGGGUGAGACGUCUCGCUGGCUUCACUGCAGCGACGACUCUGAAUCCGAGUGCCCAGUGGGCCACUUUUGGUAAGCAGAACUGGCGAUGCGGGAUGAACCGCAUGUCGAGUUAAGGUGCCUAAGCGGACGCAAAUCAGAUACCAUGAAAGGUGUUGAUUGCUCACGACAGCAGGACGGUGGCCAUGGAAGUCGGCAUCCGCUAAGGAGUGUGUAACAACUCACCUGCCGAAGCAAUCAGCCCUGAAAAUGGAUGGCGCUAAAGCGUUCCACCGAUACUCGACCGUCGUCGGCAUGCGAUGGACUCUAGCUCCAUCUGACGCCACGACGAGUAGGGCGGCGCGGCGGUGAGCGUUGAAGGCGUAACCGUGAGGUUAGCUGGAGCCGCCGUCGGUGCAGAUCUUGGUGGUAGUAGCAAAUACACAAGCAAGAUCCUUGUGGACCGAUGUGGAGAAGGGUUCCGCGCGAACAGUAUUUGGACGUGGGUGAGUCGGCCCUAAGCCAACGGGUAAUUCCCGCAUCCCGAUGUGUUCUCUCUCAACAAUUGCAUACAACGGGUUGAU
rnacentral:rRNA from 1 species